rnacentral:rRNA from 1 species
GUUUGAUCUCAAAUCAGGUAGGACUACCCGCUGAACUUAAGCAUAUCAAUAAGCGGAGGAAAAGAAACUAACAAGGAUUCCCCUAGUAACUGCGAGUGAAGCGGGAAGAGCUCAAAUUUAAAAUCUGGCGUGCCUCUGGCCGUCCGAGUUGUAGUCUGGAGAAGCGUCUUCCGUGUUGGACCGUGUACAAGUCCCUUGGAACAGGGCGUCAUAGAGGGUGAGAAUCCCGUCUUUGACACGGACUACCAAUGCUUUGUGAUGCGCUCUCAAAGAGUCGAGUUGUUUGGGAAUGCAGCUCAAAAUGGGUGGUAAAUUCCAUCUAAAGCUAAAUAUAGGCGAGAGACCGAUAGCGAACAAGUACCGUGAGGGAAAGAUGAAAAGCACUUUGGAAAGAGAGUUAAACAGUACGUGAAAUUGCUGAAAGGGAAACGCUUGAAGUCAGUCACAUCUGCCGGGACUCAGCCUUGCUUUUGCUUGGUGCACUUCCUGGUUGGAUGGGCCAACAUCAAUUUUGACCGUUGGAGAAAGGCUCUGGGAACGUGGCACCUUCGGGUGUGUUAUAGCCCUCUGUCGUAUACAACGGUUGGGAUUGAGGACCGCAGCACGCCUUUAUGGCCGGGGUUCGCCCACGUACGUGCUUAGGAUGCUGGCAUAAUGGCUUUAAGCGACCCGUCU